UACAGAGGUCUCAAGCGUUGUUCGGAAUUACUGGGCGUAAAGGGCGCGUAGGCGGGUUUCCAAGUCGGGGGUGAAAUUCCAGGGCUCAACCCUGGGACGGCCUUCGAUACUGGGAGCCUGGAGAUCGGGAGAGGUGAGUGGAAUUCCGAGUGUAGAGGUGAAAUUCGUAGAUAUUCGGAGGAACACCAGAAGCGAAGGCGGCUCACUGGCCCGAGACUGACGCUGAGGCGCGAAAGCGUGGGGAGCAAACAGG
rnacentral:rRNA from 1 species